GGGAGAGAGAGGAAAGAGGCGUCAAGGGUGCUGUGUCAAAGGAGGCUCAGUCGUGUAACACAAAGGGUACAGAGAGAAAAUAAUGUAAGAUGACUGCCGAAUAAAAGGGUUCAAGUCGUCCUAGAACUAGAGGACCCCAAACAAAGGAAGACUAGGGGUGUGCCAAGCCCUCUCUAACGUCACGAAUCCUGCGGUGUACCCUGAAUCAUGUUGUGAGAGGGAAGGUGAUAAAAAGAAACUCAAGGAAGACAGGAACCAUAGGAAGCACCUGGGAGCAUUCUGCUGCAAACAAGAAGCCAGGGGGACCAGGACAGCUAUUUCCAAAUGUACAAGGGCCGUUUCUCAAGCUGCUACUUGCAACCAGAAUAUAUUCUGCUCUAGAAGAGACAAUCCGUCUGUAGGGACACCAGCUUUGUCGGCCUUCAACAGUUACGACCAAUAGGUGCCCGAGGACCUGCCCACCAAAUGGUGCAUCAGACACUGAUCUUCCGGAGUAGUCCUUAGAGAACUGCAGUAAAGAACGAACGCAGGGGCAUUGGAUCUGGGGUUGAUAAACACAUAACCAAACGUGCUGUCUCCUGAACAAAACAACACAAGUUCAAACAGGCAAACAAAAAAACCCUAAUGAACACACAAAGAAGAUUGAUGAUUGGCAACCAAGCCAAAAAAAUUUUAAAGGCUCAGGGGCAAGCAGUAAGCAGUGUGAGUUGGGUGUUCCAGAUAAAGAAAGUAACAGGGCAGAGCCCACAGACCCACAAGAACAUGGAGUUCAGGGAAUGACCUGGAAGUCAGGGAUCUUGAAGACAUUCCCUGGGGAGAAGGCCCCCAAAGUGACUCUAAACCAACUUCCCCAGAGCCAAAGCCUUUAUUGUGCUUUUGCCUUAUGGAUCUGGUUGUCUAUUAAAAUAUGGACAUAUUUCUCAGGCUUUUGCUAG
rnacentral:lncRNA from 1 species